GUACUUGCUUCGACAGCACAGAUACUAAAAUUGGAAAAAUACAAAGAAGAAUAGAAUGGCUCCUGCACAAGGAUGCCCCCCCCCCCAAAGCUUCUUGAAUUACUUCU
rnacentral:snRNA from 1 species